UACGGAGGAUGCAAGCGUUAUCCGGAAUGAUUGGGCGUAAAGCGUCCGCAGGUGGCCAUGUAAGUCUGCUGUUAAAGAGUCUAGCUCAACUAGAUAAAAGCAGUGGAAACUACAUAGCUAGAGUACGUUCGGGGCAGAGGGAAUUCCUGGUGUAGCGGUGAAAUGCGUAGAGAUCAGGAAGAACACCAGUGGCGAAGGCGCUCUGCUAGGCCGUAACUGACACUGAGGGACGAAAGCUAGGGGAGCGAAUGGG
rnacentral:rRNA from 1 species